rnacentral:lncRNA from 1 species
AUGGCAUCUGAUGAAGCAUUGAUGUCAAUAUGUGAGGGCCUGCCCUAUGAAGCUACCCCACCGGCCCGCCCAGGCCGAAGCCCUUUCACCGACCCGGGAACACCUGCCCUCGGAAUCCUGGGGAACCUCCAGGGCUUCUCACGCGGCCGAGAAGAAAGUGAGGACCCCUCCCUCCCCCAGGAAGCCCACUCAGUGAUCCGAACAAACAACAAACCACAACAAGCCCAGAGCUGCCUGAGCUGCUCCAAGCGGGGCGCAACCCCCCUCGCCCCCCACCCCCCAGCCCCAGCUCCGAGUUACACUUUGCAGACACCCAGCCCGGCCCAGUUCCCCAGCCCGGCCCUGGCCCCCCGGGGCCCCUCCGGUCCCCAGGGCCGACCUAACUGGGCAGCUCCUCCAUCCCGGGGGGGGG